rnacentral:misc_RNA from 1 species
GAGAAGAGGAAGAUGGAUGGGAGACAAAAUGCCAUUUUCAAUGACAUUGAUUCUUACUUUUUGUCUUUUCAAAACUCUGUAGUUUUUUUGUUUUGAAUCAAAUUUAUGAAUGACAAGGGAGAGUGUUCUGUGAUGGUGGAGGGGAACUGUUCGGCUUUUGAGUUUAACGAUGAAAGUGUCUUUCUCUAUCAUGGAAAAAUG